GAUGAACGCUGGCGGCGUGCCUAAUACAUGCAAGUCGAGCGAACGGACGAGAAGCUUGCUUUUCUGAUGUUAGCGGCGGACGGGUGAGUAACACGUGGAUAACCUACCUAUAAGACUGGGAUAACUUCGGGAAACCGGAGCUAAUACCGGAUAAUAUUUUGAACCGCAUGGUUCAAAAGUGAAAGACGGUCUUGCUGUCACUUAUAGAUGGAUCCGCGCUGCAUUAGCUAGUUGGUAAGGUAACGGCUUACCAAGGCAACGAUGCAUAGCCGACCUGAGAGGGUGAUCGGCCACACUGGAACUGAGACACGGUCCAGACUCCUACGGGAGGCAGCAGUAGGGAAUCUUCCGCAAUGGGCGAAAGCCUGACGGAGCAACGCCGCGUGAGUGAUGAAGGUCUUCGGAUCGUAAAACUCUGUUAUUAGGGAAGAACAUAUGUGUAAGUAACUGUGCACAUCUUGACGGUACCUAAUCAGAAAGCCACGGCUAACUACUUG
rnacentral:rRNA from 1 species